rnacentral:ncRNA from 1 species
AUAAUUCUGCCACCGGGCAGAGACGAAAGAAACAUUCGUCCGCAUGUCAUUAGGUCUUUGAAGACAUGCAGAGGAAUGUUUCUUUUUU